AAAGUUUCUAUGGAAAAUGGAAAUGAGUAUCAAUAAAGAAAGAAAAAAAAACUGUUCUUAUCAGUUUAAUAUCUGAUACGUCCCCUACCUGGGGACCAUAUAUUAAAUUGAUUUUUGGAUCAGGGAGCCGGAACGGGGGCUUGCUCCUUCCACUCCACGCAUCUCCCGGUAUUGCAUUACCUCCAGGUACGGUGCACAUUCU
rnacentral:snRNA from 1 species